CUUCCAUCUGAGUUCUUUCAUGAGUCUGUGAGACCAGGGCUUGUCUGAAUCCCACGGCCAAAUCCUCGACUGUUUCUCUCCAGGUGGGACAUUGGACUGUCACCAUUCUAAGCACAGUGACCAAUCCUCUGGAUAUCCCUUCUUGGCAAAAGAUGGACUGAGGAGACCUUGAUGGCAUUUGAUGGGUUUCCUGCAUUAGAGUCUGUGGCUGUGAGCUCUGGGAGAAUUGGCACACUGGGAGAUUUCAUGGGUGGCUGCCGUGGUGACACAGAGAGAGACGUAUGAGCAAUACUCCAAAUGGAAUCCCUGACAAGAAGGAAUUUUGAAG